rnacentral:rRNA from 1 species
GAUGAACGCUGGCGGCGUGCCUAAUACAUGCAAGUCGAGCGAACGGACGAGAAGCUUGCUUCUCUGAUGUUAGCGGCGGACGGGUGAGUAACACGUGGAUAACCUACCUAUAAGACUGGGAUAACUUCGGGAAACCGGAGCUAAUACCGGAUAAUAUUUUGAACCGCAUGGUUCAAAAGUGAAAGACGGUCUUGCUGUCACUUAUAGAUGGAUCCGCGCUGCAUUAGCUAGUUGGUAAGGUAACGGCUUACCAAGGCAACGAUGCAUAGCCGACCUGAGAGGGUGAUCGGCCACACUGGAACUGAGACACGGUCCAGACUCCUACGGGAGGCAGCAGUAGGGAAUCUUCCGCAAUGGGCGAAAGCCUGACGGAGCAACGCCGCGUGAGUGAUGAAGGUCUUCGGAUCGUAAAACUCUGUUAUUAGGGAAGAACAUAUGUGUAAGUAACUGUGCACAUCUUGACGGUACCUAAUCAGAAAGCCACGGCUAACUACGUGCCAGCAGCCGCGGUAAUACGUAGGUGGCAAGCGUUAUCCGGAAUUAUUGGGCGUAAAGCGCGCGUAGGCGGUUUUUUAAGUCUGAUGUGAAAGCCCACGGCUCAACCGUGGGGGGUCAUUGGAAACUGGAAAACUUGAGUGCAGAAGAGGAAAGUGGAAUUCCAUGUGCAGCGGUGAAAUGCGCAGAGAUAUGGAGGAACACCAGUGGCGAAGGCGACUUUCUGGUCUGUAACUGACGCUGAUGUGCGAAAGCGUGGGGAUCAAACAGGAUUAGAUACCCUGGUAGUCCACGCCGUAAACGAUGAGUGCUAAGUGUUAGGGGGUUUCCGCCCCUUAGUGCUGCAGCUAACGCAUUAAGCACUCCGCCUGGGGAGUACGACCGCAAGGUUGAAACUCAAAGGAAUUGACGGGGACCCGCACAAGCGGUGGAGCAUGUGGUUUAAUUCGAAGCAACGCGAAGAACCUUACCAAAUCUUGACAUCCUUUGACAACUCUAGAGAUAGAGCCUUCCCCUUCGGGGGACAAAGUGACAGGUGGUGCAUGGUUGUCGUCAGCUCGUGUCGUGAGAUGUUGGGUUAAGUCCCGCAACGAGCGCAACCCUUAAGCUUAGUUGCCAUCAUUAAGUUGGGCACUCUAAGUUGACUGCCGGUGACAAACCGGAGGAAGGUGGGGAUGACGUCAAAUCAUCAUGCCCCUUAUGAUUUGGGCUACACACGUGCUACAAUGGACAAUACAAAGGGCAGCGAAACCGCGAGGUCAAGCAAAUCCCAUAAAGUUGUUCUCAGUUCGGAUUGUAGUCUGCAACUCGACUACAUGAAGCUGGAAUCGCUAGUAAUCGUAGAUCAGCAUGCUACGGUGAAUACGUUCCCGGGUCU